AUUGAACGCUGGCGGCAGGCCUAACACAUGCAAGUCGAACGAGUGGCGGACGGGUGAGUAAUGUCUGGGAAACUGCCUGAUGGAGGGGGAUAACUACUGGAAACGGUAGCUAAUACCGCAUACCAUCGGAUGUGCCGAGAUGGGCUAAUCUAGUAGGUGGGGUAAAGGCUAACCUAGGCGACGAUCCCUAGCUGGUCUGAGAGGAUGAACAGCCACACUUGAACUUAGACACGGUCCAGACUCCUACUGUAGGCAGCAGUGGGGAAUAUUGCACAAUGGGCGCAAGCCUGAUGCAGCCAUGCCGCGUGUAUGAAGAAGGCCUUCGGGUUGUAAAGUACUUUCAGCGGGGAGGCGUUACCCGCAGAAGAAGCACCGGCUAACUCCGUGCCAGCAGCCGCGGUAAUUC
rnacentral:rRNA from 1 species